rnacentral:rRNA from 1 species
GCUGGCAGCUAGCUCUCUGCAACUCUCACAUGGUCACCCACUGAAGCUAAGCAGGUCUGCUCCCAGUCAGUACCUGAUUGGGAGACCACAUGGAAAGAUUAGGUUGCUGCUGGAA